rnacentral:rRNA from 1 species
UACGGGGGGAGCAAGCGUUGUUCGGAUUUACUGGGCGUAAAGGGCGCGUAGGCGGUCGUGACAAGUCACUUGUGAAAUCUCCGGGCUUAACUCGGAAAGGUCAAGUGAUACUGUCGGACUAGAGUACAGAAGGGGCAAUUGGAAUUCUCGGUGUAGCGGUGAAAUGCGUAGAUAUCGGGAGGAACACCAGCGGCGAAGGCGGCAAACUGGAUAGGCACUGACACUCAACAACGAAAGCGUGGGGAGCAAACAGG